CGUAGGGUGCGAGCGUUAAUCGGAAUUACUGGGCGUAAAGCGUGCGCAGGCGGUUUGUAAGACAGAUGUGAAAUCCCGGGCUCAACCUGGGACCUGCAUUUGUGACUGCAAGGCUAGAGUACGGUAGAGGGGGAUGGAAUUCCGCGUGUAGCAGUGAAAUGCGUAGAUAUGCGGAGGAACACCGAUGGCGAAGGCAAUCCCCUGGACCUGUACUGACGCUCAUGCACGAAAGCGUGGGGAGCAAACAGGAUUAGAUACCCUGGUAGUCCACGCCCUAAACGAUGUCAACUGGUUGUUGGGUCUUUACUGACUCAGUAACGAAGCUAACGCGUGAAGUUGACCGCCUGGGGAGUACGGCCGCAAGGUUG
rnacentral:rRNA from 1 species